rnacentral:rRNA from 1 species
AUUGAACGCUGGCGGCAGGCCUAACACAUGCAAGUCGAACGGUAACAGAAAGCAGCUUGCUGCUUUGCUGACGAGUGGCGGACGGGUGAGUAAUGUCUGGGAAACUGCCUGAUGGAGGGGGAUAACUACUGGAAACGGUAGCUAAUACCGCAUAACGUCGCAAGGCCAAAGAGGGGGACCUUCGGGCCUCUUGCCAUCGGAUGUGCCCAGAUGGGAUUAGCUAGUAGGUGGGGUAACGGCUCACCUAGGCGACGAUCCCUAGCUGGUCUGAGAGGAUGACCAGCCACACUGGAACUGAGACACGGUCCAGACUCCUACGGGAGGCAGCAGUGGGGAAUAUUGCACAAUGGGCGCAAGCCUGAUGCAGCCAUGCCGCGUGUAUGAAGAAGGCCUUCGGGUUGUAAAGUACUUUCAGCGGGGAGGAAGGGAGUAAAGUUAAUACCUUUGCUCAUUGACGUUACCCGCAGAAGAAGCACCGGCUAACUCCGUG